rnacentral:rRNA from 1 species
UACGAAGGGUGCAAGCGUUAAUCGGAAUUACUGGGCGUAAAGGGUGCGUCGGCGGUUCGUUAAGUCUGUCGUGAAAUCCCCGGGCUCAACCUGGGAAUGGCGAUGGAUACUGGCGAGCUAGAGUGUGUCAGAGGAUGGUGGAAUUCCCGGUGUAGCGGUGAAAUGCGUAGAGAUCGGGAGGAACAUCAGUGGCGAAGGCGGCCAUCUGGGACAACACUGACGCUGAAGCACGAAAGCGUGGGGAGCAAACAGG